rnacentral:rRNA from 1 species
AAGUAAAAAGGGCAUACAGGGGAUGCCUAGGCGACCAGAGGCGAAGAAGGACGUGGCAAGCUGCGAAAAGCUACGGGGAGAAGCAAGCAAUCGAAGAACCGUAGAUAUCCGAAUGGGGAAACCCGGAAGAGCCCGAAAGGGAGGCGAACCCAGCGAAGUGAAACAUCAUAGUAGCUGGAGGAAAAGAAAUCAAAGAGAUUCCCUGAGUAGUGGCGAGCGAAAAGGGAAAAGCCCAAACCAAAUUGAUGUAAAAGGGUACAGCCGUUGUCAAUUUGGGGUAGAGGGACAGCUUAACUCGAACUGUAAAUAGAGGGAAUAGGUAAAGAGGAAGUCGAAGUAUAUGGGAAGAUAAACCAAAGAAGGUGAAAGUCCUGUAGACGAAAACUCGUAAACUAAUCGAAGCUGAUCCCAAGUAGCGUGGGACACGAGGAAUCCUGCGUGAAUCAGGGGAGACCACUCUCCAAGGCUAAAUACUCCUGGUCGACCGAUAGCGAAUAGUACCGUGAGGGAAAGGUGAAAAGGACCCCGUGAGGGGAGUGAAAGAGAACCUGAAACUGUAUGCCUACAGGAAACGGGAGCGGAAGUGACCGUGUGCCUUUUGAUUAAUGUGCCCGCGAGUUAUCGUAUAUGGCGAGGUUAAGUCGAAAGAGACGAAGCCGAAGGGAAACCGAGUUUUAAAAGAGCGAAAGUCAAAUGCGAUAGACCCGAAGCCCAGUGAUCUAUCCAUGUGCAGGUUGAAAGUUAGGUAAAACUAAGUGGAGGACCGAACCGGUAGGUAGUGAAAAAUCUUCGGAUGACAUGUGGAUAGCAGUGAAAAGCUAAUCGAACUGGGUGAUAGCUGGUUCUCUCCGAAACGUGUGUAGGCACGGCCUCGACAAAGAAAGUAUUGGGGGUAGAGCACUGAUUGACGUAUGGGGGCGACCUCAGAAAUCAGUCAAACUCCGAAUACCAAUACUGAAUAGUCGGGAGACAGACUACGGGGGAUAAGCUCCGUGGUCGAAAGGGAAACAGCCCAGACCGCCAGCUAAGGUUCCGAAGAAAUGGCUAAGUGUGAAAGGUAGUGAAGUUCUGAAGACAGCCAGGAGGUUGGCUUAGAAGCAGCCACCCUUUAAAGAGUGCGUAACAGCUCACUGGUUGAAGAACAAUGCGCCGAAAAUGUAACGGAGCUAAAGCCAUACACCGAAGCUGCGGAAUUGGAGUAAUCCAAUUGGUAGGAGAGCAUUGUGUAGUAGGGAGAAGGUAAACUGGAAGGUUUGCUGGACGAGACACAAGAGCGGAUGCGGGCAUGAGUAGCGAAAUGAAUGUGAGAAUCAUUCACCCCGAAAGUCUAAGGGUACCUGGGGAAGGGUCGUCCACCCAGGGUAAGUCGGAGCCUAAGGUGAACCCGAAAGGGGUAAUCGAUGGGAAACAGGUAAAGAGUCCUGUACCAGUAUGAACGAGAUAUAAGGGGGGACGCAGGAGGUGAAUCACCGAGACCAAGUUGCAAGGUCUUCUAAGCAGUAAAGCCGAAGAAACGAGUAGGGAAAACCGCUUGUGGAGGAAAAACUGUGAUGGGAAGGACGUAAGUCUAACGGGGAGGAGUCACACUGCCAAGAAAAGCCUCGUAUAUCGCUUGAGAGAAAUACUGACCGUUCCGUAAACCGACACAGGUAGACGGGUUGAGAAAACUAAGGGGAGCGGAAUAACCUCUGUUAAGGAACUAGGCAAAAUAGCCCCGUAACUUCGGGAGAAGGGGUGCUCUUGAUGGUGUUGCAAAAUGCGAUUGAGAGUCGAAGUGGAAAGUCCCAGGCGACUGUUUACCAAAAACACAGGUCUAUGCGAACACAAAAAGUGGAAGUAUAUGGACUGACGCCUGCCCAGUGCCGGAAGGUUAAGUGGAGUGGUGAGAGCUACGAAACGAAGCCCCGGUAAACGGCGGCCGUAACUAUAACGGUCCUAAGGUAGCGAAAUUCCUUGUCGGGUAAGUUCCGACCUGCAUGAAUGGCGUAACGAUCUGGGAGCUGUCUCAACAGAGGAUCCGGCGAAAUUACAGAGUGGGUGAAGAUGCCCACAACCCGCAGUUAGACGGAAAGACCCCAUGGAGUUUUACUGUAGCCUGACGUUGUAAAUGGUUAUAAUGUGUACAGGAUAGGUGGGAGGCGAAGAAGGAAGAUCGCAAGGUUUUCUAGAGCCGACGUUGGGAUACCACCCUCAUUAUAAUGAUUUACUAACGGUGGAAUGUGAAGAGCAUGAGCCGGACAGCGUUAGGUGGGCAGUUUGACUGGGGCGGUUGCCUCCUAAAGAGUAACGGAGGCGUACGAAGGUCGGCUCAGGUGGGUUGGAAAUCCACCGGUGAGUGCAAGGGCAAAAGCCGGCUUGACUGCGAGACUGACAGGUCGAGCAGAAUGGAAACAUGGUCCUAGUGACCCGGCCGAGGCGAGUGGAAGCGCGGUCGAUCAACGGAUAAAAGUUACCCUGGGGAUAACAGGCUAAUGACGCUCGAGAGUUCAUAUCGACGGCGUUGUUUGGCACCUCGAUGUCGGCUCAUCGCAUCCUGGGGCUGAAGUCGGUCCCAAGGGUUGGGCUGUUCGCCCAUUAAAGCGGUACGUGAGCUGGGUUCAGAACGUCGUAAGACAGUUCGGUCCCUAUCUGCUGCGGGCGUAGGAAGCUUGAGGAGGGUUGCUCUUAGUACGAGAGGACCGGAGUGAGUGUACCGCUGGUGAAUCAGCUGUCAGGCAAAUGGCAGGAGCUGAGUAGCUAAGUACAUGACCGAUAACCGCUGAAAGCAUCUAAGCGGGAAACGGGCUCCAAGAUAAGGCUUCCCGCUCAUUUAUGAGGUAAGGGUAGUUCGAGACUAGAACAUAGAUAGGCCACAGAUGUAAGUGCAGUGAUGUAUUGAGUCGAGUGGUACUAAUAACCCGAGGCUUU